GACGAACGCUGGCGGCGUGCUUAACACAUGCAAGUCGAACGGAAAGGCCCUGCUUUUGUGGGGUGCUCGAGUGGCGAACGGGUGAGUAACACGUGAGUAACCUGCCCUUGACUUUGGGAUAACUUCAGGAAACUGGGGCUAAUACCGGCUAGGAGCUCCUGCUGCAUGGUGGGGGUUGGAAAGUUUCGGCGGUUGGGGAUGGACUCGCGGCUUAUCAGCUUGUUGGUUGGGUAGUGGCUUACCAAGGCUUUGACGGGUAGCCGGCCUGAGAGGGUGACCGGCCACAUUGGGACUGAGAUAAGACCCAGACUCCUACGGUAGGCAGCAGUGGGGAAUAUUGCACAAUGGGCGGAAGCCUGAUGCAGCAACGCCGCGUGCGGGAUGACGGCCUUCGGGUUGUAAACCGCUUUCGCCUGUGACGAAGCGUGAGUGACGGUAAUGGGUAAAGAAGCACCGGCUAACUACGUG
rnacentral:rRNA from 1 species